UUACGGGAGGCAGCAGUGAGGAAUAUUGGACAAUGGAUGGAAAUCUGAUCCAGCCAUGCCGCGUGCAGGAAGGCGGCCCUAUGGGUUGUAAACUGCUUUUGUACGGGAGCAGUAAGGUCUACGAGUAGAUUGAUGAGAGUACUGUACGAAUAAGCAUCGGCUAACUCCGUGCCAGCAGCCGCGGUAAUACGGAGGAUGCGAGCGUUAUCCGGAUUUAUUGGGUUUAAAGGGUGCGUAGGCUGUUAUUCAAGUCAGUGGUAAAAGGUACAGGCUUAACUUGUAUGCGCCAUUGAUACUGAAUAGCUAGGAUAUGGAUGAAGUGUGCGGAAUGUGUGGUGUAGCGGUGAAAUGCAUAGAUAUCACACAGAACACCGAUAGCGAAGGCAGCACACUAAGGCAAUAUUGACGCUGAGGCACGAAAGUGUGGGGAUCAAACAGGAUUAGAAACCCGAGUAGUCC
rnacentral:rRNA from 1 species